UGUAUGUAUGUAGGAAAUAUCCUUAAACAAAGUGGCUAAUGCUAAUGCUAAUGCUAUUAGAUGGCAACAGAGGCAGAGUGCAGAGCAGAGUGAAACUGAGUUUAAGAGGCAGAGGCAGAGGUGGUUGGUUCAUGAAUCAUCAUCAUCAUCAGUUCAUGGCUUCAUAAUCAUGGAACGUGCAUUGGGGUGUCUAUUUUCAAGAUUUUGGUAUCUAAACUUCAAGGAACGUGCACUAGGGUGCAUUGGGGUGUUAAACUUCAAGUUUUGUGUGCUUUGUCCUCUUAACUCCAACGGACUGUUUGAACUUUGGACUUGAAGUGUAGUCAAUGGCAAAAAUGGUGACAUAUCAACAAUUUUGUUAGAUUGCAUAGCAGGCACAUUGGAUGAAUUCGAAUGAGCGAAGUGAUAGUCAAUCUAUCAAGUAGUUAUUAAAGACAAUUCUUUGUAAAUAUUCUACCUAUUUAUGCCUAUAUUUAUUAAUUUGUG